UACGUAGGGUGCAAGCGUUGUCCGGAAUUAUUGGGCGUAAAGAGCUUGUAGGCGGUUUGUCGCGUCUGCUGUGAAAUUUCGGCGCUCAACCCCGAACUUGCAGUGGGUACGGGCAGACUAGAGUGUGGUAGGGGAGACUGGAAUUCCUGGUGUAGCGGUGAAAUGCGCAGAUAUCAGGAGGAACACCGAUGGCGAAGGCAGGUCUCUGGGCCAUAACUGACGCUGAGAAGCGAAAGCAUGGGGAGCGAACAGG
rnacentral:rRNA from 1 species